UACGGAGGGUGCAAGCGUUGUCCGGAUUUAUUGGGUUUAAAGGGUGCGUAGGCGGCCCGUUAAGUCAGUGGUGAAAGCCUCCAGCUCAACUGGAGAACUGCCAUUGAUACUGGCGGGCUUGAGUACAGACGAGGUAGGCGGAAUUGAUUGUGUAGCGGUGAAAUGCAUAGAUACAAUCAAGAACACCGAUUGCGUAGGCAGCUUACUAGGCUGUAACUGACGCUGAGGCACGAAAGCGUGGGGAGCAAACAGG
rnacentral:rRNA from 1 species